GCGCAAGGGGGUUCAGCUGGUUCCUGGGGAAACCUGGGCGAAGAGGGAAUGUGACAGCUGGAAUUAUCUGGCAAAAAGCACAGCCGCCCCCGCGACCGUGACCGGAUGAGACCGCCAUGCCACUGGGACACCCCGGGAAGGCAGGAGGGUCGACAGAGCGCACGCUCUGGCAUCCGCAAGCCGGGAGACCUGCCAGCAAGAGGAGAUUUCA
rnacentral:ncRNA from 2 species